UGUUAGAAGGGGCGGGGUUAAGACGAAGGACCUUGUACAGUGAGACUUUAUAUGUUACCACUGCUGUCACGGGAAGAGAAAACAACAUCGGGACCACAUGGAAAUACUGCUGGAUAUUCGAUUGGAACAUAAGAUCUGACAAAGAGGAGAGCACAGAGACAGCACUUCACAUCUGGCCAUCAAUAAUAUCAAUAACAGUGCUUCGAGACGACUUUUUGAGGCCCAGUCAUGGAAGGACCCGACACAGUGAGAUAACAAGAAGGCCACUAUCUCCAGUUGUUCGAUAUGGAGAAGGUGUGCCCAGCUGUGCAGGGAUCUCAACAUGUGAAACACAAAUGUGAAGAGGGGUUCUCAGAAGUGUGUAAUGGCAAGGAAGAGGCAAAUCCCACACAGCACUUGGACCUCCUCUUGAAGCCUGGCAUGGGUGUUAAGGAAGAGGACUGUAAAGAGGGGUCAAUACAUCAUGGACAGGGAAAUGCCUGCGUGAAGAAGGAGGAAGAGGAGGAUUGUGAUCAUGGUCCUGUAGACUUUACAGUAGACUCUGAGCUAAUGUUUAACAGCAUUGAUGGGCAGAAAAGUAAAACUGCCAACGUUAUAAA